rnacentral:misc_RNA from 1 species
UGAGCGUAUUGUGGGUUUCCUGUGUUGCAUACCUUUCUAAUGGUAUCGUGUUGAUUGAUUGAAGUCCCUUUUCAUCUUGUGUUGCUUUUUGCGACGCAUGAUGAACCUCGAGGCGGUCUCUAUGUUCCACUACGUUGAUGCUAGCGUUUUGAUGUUGUGGCCCAUUGAGUGUUGCUUGGUUUCGUGGAUACAGAACAUGAUUUGGGCAUAGGGUUACUUGUAACUCUUGUUUUGUCCUUUAUCUGUGUUCUUUAUAACGACGGUUCAUGCGCGCCUAGGCUCGUACCUGCGCGAUGUUCUUUGUCGAAGAGGAAUGCUACCUGGUUGAUCCUGCCAGUAGUCAUAUGCUUGUCUCAAAGAUUAAGCCA